AAUAGUUUCGUACCACAAAAUGUGGCACUCUUCAGAUAAAUUCAAUUUAUCUGAAGAGUGCCACAUUUUGUGGUACGAAACUAUU
rnacentral:miRNA from 1 species